AUUGAACGCUGGCGGCAGGCCUAACACAUGCAAGUCGAACGAGUGGCGGACGGGUGAGUAAUGUCUGGGAAACUGCCUGAUGGAGGGGGAUAACUACUGGAAACGGUAGCUAAUACCGCAUACCAUCAGAUGUGCCCAGAUGGGAUUAGCUUGUUGGUGGGGUAACGGCUCACCAAGGCGACGAUCCCUCGCUGGUCUGCGAGGAUGACCGGCCAAACUGAAACUGGGACACGUUCCAAACUCCUACGGGGGGCGGCGGUGGGGAAUAUUUCACAAUGGGCGCAAGCCUGGUGCAGCCAGGCCGGGUGUAUGAAGAGGGCUUUCGGGUUGUAAAGUACUUUCAGCGGGGAGGCGUUACCCGCAGAAGAAGCACCGGCUAACUCCGUGCCAGCAGCCGCGGUAAUUC
rnacentral:rRNA from 1 species